rnacentral:misc_RNA from 1 species
CAACUGCGAUAAGUAGUGUGAACUGCAGAAACUUUGAACACUGAUCAUUCGAAUGCACAUUGCGCCAUUGGAGUUACAUCCUUUGGCACGUCUGGUUCAGGGUCGUUAUCCAAAAACGCGCAGCAGAUGCGUGUUCAAUUCGGUGAAAAUAUGAACAGCAAGCCUAGCCCGAGGGCACUGUUAUCAAAACGUGGUGCAUGCCGAAAGAGGGUAUGGAGUGAUGCUGGCGCGGAAUCUGUAUGUGUUUUGUUCCGUGUCUUGCGCACCGCAACUGGGGCGUCACUCUCUGGCUCUCUUAAGGUAGUCAAAAGUGUUGACAUCUAAUUAAUUAGUCGCACAUCGACCUGAACUCAGACGUGAGCACCCGCUGAACUUAA